AAAAAGAAGAUCCUCUGUGUAGUCCUUUGAAAUGUCCAGGAGAGAUUCUGGUUCUCAGAAAUGCAGUAUCCUUGCAGCGUGGAGGAGCUCUCGACUGCCUUCCUGGCGACGGGACUUCCCUCCCCCGCCGGGAGCGCCGCUCACAUGCCCGCGCCCCCGUUCCGCUGCCGCGGAGGGAGCUGCGCUCGCUCCGCUCUCGGGCUGCGGAGAGAGGCUGGGGCUGGGGGGGCUGCGCGGCCGCAGGCGGGGAGGAGGAGGAGGAGGCGGAGGAGGAGGAGGAGGAAGGAGCCCCGCGGCCGCCCCGCUGCCCAGAGCUGCCCGCGGGAAGUGGCCGGCUCGGCUGCCCC